rnacentral:rRNA from 1 species
UACAGAGGUCUCAAGCGUUGUUCGGAUUCAUUGGGCGUAAAGGGUGCGUAGGUGGCGCCAUAAGUCAGGUGUGAAAUCUCGGGGCUCAACCCCGAAACUGCACUUGAUACUGUGGUGCUCGAGUACUGGAGAGGAGAUUGGAAUUUACGGUGUAGCAGUGAAAUGCGUAGAUAUCGUAAGGAAGACCAGUGGCGAAGGCGAAUCUCUGGACAGUUACUGACGCUCAGGCACGAAAGCAUGGGGAGCAAAAGGG